AACUUUGCCAAGUCGCCCCUCUUUCCGGGGGCGGGGGGCACAGCUGGGGGGCUGAACUAGCCAACAGGGAAAGGGAGUGGGUGCCCGGCCUCCCCAGCGGUGUGGGUCUGCUGGAGACACCCAACGUAUUGAAGCAGGACCUCCAGACGGGGCGAGGGGAGGGGAGCAGGAGAUGGGGAAAGAGGCAGAUAAGAAUAUCCAAGGGGUUAAACAGAUAUGGUUCCGUCGACUGCAUUCAGGACCCCAGUAGGAAGCCUGUCUCUGAGCUGUUGGGAGAUCUGCCCCCCCAACAUCCCCAGCCCUAGUCCAAGGGCGCUCUCCACUCCCCAAGUGUGAAAAACCACACCCCAUUGCAUGCUGUGGCCAGAUCUUUGCGCAGACUCAGAAAACAAACCAGGGUCUGUGGGCAAGAGAGAAACCGCAAACUUGUAGCAAAACAAACGAGAGGUUCCAAUUCAAGCUUACGAAUUUUGUGUAUCCCUGCCAAGUUGGAGAAAAUAUCAGAUACAAGCAGGACCGAUAAAAAACGUCUCCCGUGUGAUACCGCUACUAAGCAUUUGUGGAGUGACCGCCACUUCAAAUGCUAAAACAGCCGUGCGAAACUCCAAGGAAUCAAGGACACAUGUCCUCACCAAAAGAUGAGGGCCGCCGUCCAGUAAUGGAACUCAGACUCGGAAUUUUGCCGUGUAGUUGACCAAGAUUUCAAAAUCGCUGCACUGAGGAAACUCAUCGACUCAUGAGAAAAGAGGAACAAUACGAGAACAGAAAGGGAGAUUUAGCAAAGAGAUAGAAAUCACACGAAAGAGCCAAAGAGAAAUUCUGGACUCGGGGGAUUCAGUUAAUGAAUAAAAUUAAUAGAAGGCACUGGACAGCAUCCACCGCAGAACAGAACAAUUCGAGUUCCAGAAAAAGGAGAGAGAGAGAGAGACAGAGAAGGGGUCAAAAGCUUAUGUAAAGAAAUGAUAACUGAGAACUUCUUACACCCAGGGGGCUAGUUGGACAUCCAAAUUCAAGACUAUUACCACACUGAUAGGAAAAAGAUGCUGGCAAGAAUGAUCUGUCUGGGAAAUUGUUCUGGAGUUAUGAAGGACAGAUAAAAACUUUGGUUUCUUUACUUGCCUUUGUUUUGUUUUGUUUUGUUUUGUUUUGUUUUGUUUUGUUGGUAGUGUCUUCAUCUGAUUUUGGGAUCUCAGUGUCAGGACGACACAGUGUCUUCGUCUGACUUCAGCAUCAGGAUAACACUGGCCUUAAAGAAUGAGUUUGAGAAUGCCCCCUGCCCCGAUCCACCCUUCCACUUUUGGGGCCGAGUUUGAGAAGGAUUGGCAUUCAUUCUUCUUUGGAUGUUCAGUAAAGAACUGGAAUUUGCCAGUAAAGCCAUCUGGUGACCUGGGAUUUCCUGUGUUGACGGGUCUUCAAUGACCCAUUCAGGCUCCUCGCUUGUUAUUGAUGCAUUCACGACUAUAAACUCCGCUCUCUGAGAUGUGUUUGCAGCAGCCCAUGCCUCGGUUUUGCGCCUGUAGCCGCUGGAAGGAACGCAGCCCUGCUGACCCCUUCAUGCAGCCCAUGGGACUGUGUCACACUGCGGGGCCAGAGAACUGCAUGGGCGUGAAUGCACAGUUUGCAGCACGGCCUUCGUGGUAGCUUCUUACAGGAGCAGCAGGAACCAACCGGAAAAGCAGAAAGCAGGGUAGACAGCGCUCGCUCUAACGGGCUAACUUCCUUCUGAGAAAGGAGCUAAGGAACACGAUGUGUCUGCUGACUUAUCUUCCCACAGAUGACUUGUUCGUUCUGAAAACCAGAAACCAACAAAAA